rnacentral:ncRNA from 2 species
UUUUUGGAGAGUUUGAUCCUGGCUCAGGACGAACGCUGGCGGCGUGCCUAAUACAUGCAAGUCGAGC